UUAAAAGCCAGCUGAUGUGGCUAACGGUAGACUGACACUGUUUUUUUUUCUUACACUGAGUCAGUGUUUCGUACCUUUUCUCCCUCUCUCCCUCUCUCCCCUGUCUCUUCCUUCCACCUUCCACCCUUCCUUCCAUCUUCCACUACCAAUGCACUCAAACUCUCUUCUACUUCCAGACCCCAUCUUCUUCCUCCUUUUUCUUUCUCUAGAUGCUUAUCUAUUGGUAUUUACACUUUUUUCUCUGCAUUCAUAUCUCUAUCAAAUCCCUAUUUAAGUCCCUCCAACCCCUCUCUUCCCUCAACCCAAAUUCAUAUUUUCAAACCUCACAAAAUUC
rnacentral:lncRNA from 1 species